rnacentral:rRNA from 1 species
AGAAUCAACGCUGGCGGCGUGCCUAACACAUGCAAGUCGAACGCGAAAGCCCCGCAAGGGGCAAGUAGAGUGGCAAACGGGUGAGUAACACGUGGGUGACCUGCCUUCGAGCGGGGGAUAACGUCCCGAAAGGGACGCUAAUACCGCAUAACAUCCUGCCUUUGAAGAGGUGGAGAUCAAAGCUGGGGAUCGCAGACCCGGCACUUGAAGAGGGGCCCGCGCCUGAUUAGCUAGUUGGUGGGGUAAUGGCCUACCAAGGCAACGAUC